UACGAAGGGGGCUAGCGUUGCUCGGAAUUACUGGGCGUAAAGCGCGCGUAGGCGGCUAUUUAAGUCGGGUGUGAAAGCCCCGGGCUCAACCUGGGAAUUGCAUUCGAUACUGGAUAGCUAGAGUUCGGCAGAGGGAAGCGGAAUUUCCGGUGUAGCGGUGAAAUGCGUAGAUAUCAGGAAGAACACCCGUGGCGAAGGCGGCUCUCUGGGACGGUACUGACGCUGAGACGCGAAAGCGUGGGGAGCGAACAGG
rnacentral:rRNA from 1 species